rnacentral:piRNA from 1 species
CUUGAGAUGUUGAACAAAUCCAUCCCCCAUG